UACGUAGGGUGCAAGCGUUGUCCGGAAUUAUUGGGCGUAAGGAGCUCGUAGGCGGUCAGUCGCGUCUGCUGUGAAAACUCGGGGCUUAACCCCGGGCCUGCAGUGGGUACGGGCUGACUAGAGUGCGGUAGGGGAGACUGGAAUUCCUGGUGUAGCGGUGAAAUGCGCAGAUAUCAGGAGGAACACCGGUGGCGAAGGCGGGUCUCUGGGCCGAUACUACUGAGGAGCGAAAGCGUGGGGGAGCGAACAGG
rnacentral:rRNA from 1 species